GCCUGACCACUGUCUUCUCCGGACGAGGACGACAGAUGUCGGGUUGCUCCCCCCCCACAACACCAGUGAAUCACAAGAUUAAAUGAUGACGACAGCAGCAGCAAUGAACAAAAACAAACCUCCCAGGACGGUUUUCAUUACAAUGAAGAAACAAAAUGUGACAUGCUGGCGCUAUUUGUAAUCUUUUAUCGCUGUCAUUUAUUUAAACUAAUAAUUUAUUUCAUUGAUUCGCACCUGCGACCUUCAACGUUUGAAGCUUUUCACUGGUCUGAACAGUUUUUCGACGAUCUCUGUUGUGGACCACUGAAAACAUUUCCUGAGUUUUGAGUCAGUGCAGUUUCUUGACCGUGUUGGAUGCACACAUGAACUUGGGUCAUGCAACCAUCUCAGAGUGUUGAUUUUCACUACUUUGGGUGUUUUCGUGACGCUGGCCUACGAGAGAGCAGCCACAUGGUUUCUCACGUAUGAAGCGUUCAGUCGAGGUUUGUAAAGUCCAAUGACAGAACGGCCCGAUGGUUUCUCUCCAGUUAGUGCAGCCACGUGGUUU